rnacentral:rRNA from 1 species
AUACGGAAGGUGCGAGCGUUAUCCGGAUUCAUUGGGUUUAAAGGGAGCGUAGGCGGAGCGCCAAGUCAGCUGUGAAAUCCCGCGGCUCAACCGUGGAACUGCAGUUGAAACUGGCGCCCUUGAGUGCACAUGAGGAUGGCGGAAUUCGUGGUGUAGCGGUGAAAUGCUUAGAUAUCACGAAGAACCCCGAUUGCGAAGGCAGCUGUCUGGGGCGCCACUGACGCUGAGGCUCGAAAGUGCGGGUAUCAAACAGGAUUAGAUACCCUGGUAGUCCGCACAGUAAACGAUGGACACUCGUGGUCGGCGACACACUGCCGGUCACCAAGCGAAAGCGAUAAGUGUCCCACCUGGGGAGUACGCCGGCAACGGUGAAACUCAAAUGAAUUGACGGGG